GCCCUCGUAGUGUAAUGGAUAUCAUACAAGACUUCGAAUCUUAUGAUAUGGGUUCGAUUCCCAUCGGGGGUA